GAUGAACGCUGGCGGCGUGCCUAAUACAUGCAAGUCGAGCGAACAGAUGAGGAGCUUGCUCCUCUGACGUUAGCGGCGGACGGGUGAGUAACACGUGGAUAACCUACCUAUAAGACUGGGAUAACUUCGGGAAACCGGAGCUAAUACCGGAUAAUAUAUUGAACCGCAUGGUUCAAUAGUGAAAGACGGUUUUGCUGUCACUUAUAGAUGGAUCCGCGCCGCAUUAGCUAGUUGGUAAGGUAACGGCUUACCAAGGCAACGAUGCGUAGCCGACCUGAGAGGGUGAUCGGCCACACUGGAACUGAGACACGGUCCAGACUCCUACGGGAGGCAGCAGUAGGGAAUCUUCCGCAAUGGGCGAAAGCCUGACGGAGCAACGCCGCGUGAGUGGUGAAGGUCUUCGGAUCGUAAAACUCUGUUAUUGGGGAAGAACAAAUGUGUAAGUAACUAUGCACGUCUUGACGGUACCUAAUCAGAAAGCCACGGCUAACUACGGGC
rnacentral:rRNA from 1 species